AACGAACGCUGGCGGCAUGCCUAACACAUGCAAGUCGAACGAGACCUUCGGGUCUGGUGGCGCACGGCUGCGUAACGCGUGGGAACCUGCCCUUAGGUUCGGAAUAAUUCCCCUUAAGGGGUGCUAAUACCUGUUAAUCUCUUCGGACCAAAGAUUUGUCGCCUUUGAAUGAGCCCGCGUUGGAUUGGUUAUUUGUUAGUGUAAGAGCUUACCAAGGCGACGAUCCAUAGCUGGUCUGAGAGGAUGAUCAGCCACCCUGGAACUGAGACGCGGCCCAGACUCCCACGGCAGGCAGCAGUCGCGAAUCCCACACAGUGGCCCAAAGUCAGAUGAAGCAAUGCAGCGUGAGUGAUGAAAUGGUUAGGGUUGUACAGCUCUAUUACACCGGAUGAUAAUGACAGUACCGGGAGAAUACGCCCCGGCUAACCCCGUG
rnacentral:rRNA from 1 species